AUGGGAACGCGAAGAACCUUACCUAGACUUGACAUCUCCUGAAUAGUGUAGAGAUACAUGAAGCCCUUCGGGGCAGGAAGACAGGUGGUGCAUGGUUGUCGUCAGCUCGUGUCGUGAGAUGUUGGGUUAAGUCCCGCAACGAGCGCAACCCUUAUUACUAGUUGCUACCAUUAAGUUGAGCACUCUAGUGAGACUGCCCGGGGUUAACCGGGAGGAAGGCGGGGAUGACGUCAAAUCAUCAUGCCCCUUAUGUCUAGGGCGACACACGUGCUACAAUGGUGAGUACAGAUAGAUGCGAUACCGCAAGGUGGAGCCAAACUCUAAAACUCAUCCCAGUUCGGAUUGUAGGCUGCAACUCGCCUACAUGAAGUUGGAGUUGCUAGUAAUCGCGAAUCAGAAUGUCGCGGUGAAUACGUUCCCGGGUCUUGUACACACCG
rnacentral:rRNA from 1 species